CCGGCGGCCUCGGGCCCGGGGCGCCCCGGCCUCAAGGGAGACGCCUGGCCCCGCCACCCCGCGGGGACCGGGACGGAAACGCGGGGCAUGAGCGCACAGGGGAUGCGGAUGGGGGUGCAGGACGCGCAACGGAUUACUGCUUCCCUGGUGGCGCAGUGGUUAAGAAUCCGCCUGCCAAUGCAGCGGACACAGGUUCGAGCCCUGGUCCAAGAAGAUCCCACAUGCAGCGGAGCAACUAAGCCUGUGCACCACAACUACGGAGCCUGUGCUCUAGAGCCCGCAAGCCACAACUACUGAGCCCGCGUGCCACAACUACUGAAGCCCGCGCACCUAGAGCCCGUUCUCCACAACGACACCGCAACUAGAGAAAGCCCACGUCCAGCAACGAAGACCCAACGCAGCCAAAAUAAAUAAAAAUUUUUAAAAAACAACAAUGUUGUGAUAGUUUAAAAAAAUAAUAAAAUAAAAUAAAAUGCAGAUUACUAAAUUGUACAUGAAAAAAAGUUUAUGAAUAAAAAGAUGAUAGCCAAAAUA